CUACACAUGCNAGUCNNNNGGNAAACACAAGGGNAGCUUGCUCCUGAGGNGUCGAGCGGCGNNNCGGGUGAGUAAUGCCUAGGUAUCUGCCCAGUCGAGGGGGAUAACAGUUGGAAACGACUGCUAAUACCGCAUACGCCCUACGGGGGAAAGGAGGGGACCUUCGGGCCUUUCGCGAUUGGAUGAACCUAGGUGGGAUUAGCUAGUAGGUGGGGUAAUGGCUCACCUAGGCAACGAUCCCUAGCUGGUCUGAGAGGAUGAUCAGCCACACUGGAACUGAGACACGGUCCAGACUCCUACGGGAGGCAGCAGUGGGGAAUAUUGCACAAUGGGCGAAAGCCUGAUGCAGCCAUGCCGCGUGUAUGAAGAAGGCCUUCGGGUUGUAAAGUACUUUCAGCGAGGAGGAAAGGUAGGUAGUUAAUAACUGCUUACUGUGACGUUACUCGCAGAAGAAGCACCGGCUAACUUCGUGCCAGCAGCCGCGGUAAUACGAGGGGUGCAAGCGUUAAUCGGAAUUACUGGGCGUAAAGCGUACGCAGGCGGUUUGUUAAGCAAGAUGUGAAAGCCCCGGGCUCAACCUGGGAACUGCAUUUUGAACUGGCAAACUAGAGUCUUGUAGAGGGGGGUAGAAUUUCAGGUGUAGCGGUGAAAUGCGUAGAGAUCUGAAGGAAUACCGGUGGCGAAGGCGGCCCCCUGGACAAAGACUGACGCUCAGGUACGAAAGCGUGGGGAGCAACAGGGAUUAGAUACCCUGGUAGUCCACGCCGUAAACGAUGUCUACUCCGAAAUUGG
rnacentral:rRNA from 1 species